UCCAGGUGUAGCGGUGAAAUGCGUAGAGAUCUGGAGGAAUACCGGUGGCGAAGGCGGCCCCCUGGACAAAGACUGACGCUCAGGUGCGAAAGCGUGGGGAGCAAACAGGAUUAGAUACCCUGGUAGUCCACGCCGUAAACGAUGUCUACUUGGAGGUUGUGCCCUUGAGGCGUGGCUUCCGGAGCUAACGCGUUAAGUAGACCGCCUGGGGAGUACGGCCGCAAGGUUAAAACUCAAAUGAAUUGACGGGGGCCCGCACAAGCGGUGGAGCAUGUGGUUUAAUUCGAUGCAACGCGAAGAACCUUACCUGGUCUUGACAUCCAC
rnacentral:rRNA from 1 species